GACGAACGCUGGCGGCGUGCCUAAUACAUGCCAGUUGAGCGCUGAAGGUUGGUACUUGUACCAACUGGAUGAGCAGCGAACGGGUGAGUAACGCGUGGGGAAUCUGCCUUUGAGCGGGGGACAACAUUUGGAAACGAAUGCUAAUACCGCAUAAAAACUUUAAACACAAGUUUUAAGUUUGAAAGAUGCAAUUGCAUCACUCAAAGAUGAUCCCGCGUUGUAUUAGCUAGUUGGUGAGGUAAAGGCUCACCAAGGCGAUGAUACAUAGCCGACCUGAGAGGGUGGUCGGCCACAGUGGGACUGAGACACGGCCCAAACUCCUACGGGAGGCAGCAGUAGGGAAUCUUCGGCAAUGGACGAAAGUCUGACCGAGCAACGCCGCGUGAGUGAAGAAGGUUGUCGGAUCGUAAAACUCUGUUGGUAGAGAAGAACGUUGGUGAGAGUGGAAAGCUCAUCAAGUGACGGUAACUACCCAGAAAGGGACGGCUAACUACGUG
rnacentral:rRNA from 1 species